CUCCCUCUCCCUCUCUCUCUAGCUCAUCAACUCGAUUGCGAACGUGUUCCCUCUGAUUCAUCUGCGAAAAGAGUGAUUAGGUUUUUUUUUCUGCCUUCUCCGGUAGCCUAAGGAUACCGCAAUGGUUUCGUGCUAUGGCGGUAGCGUUGCUUCCGAUUAACGCUCGUUGAUCGUCGGGUGUGCGCUGGAAUUUGUCGUGUAAAAACUGUGGCUUUCCUAGGAGGGCAUGGUACGCGAGUCUGCACGAGUCUCGGACAUUGUUCGGGAAUAGGUUUAGGAUUGCGAAUAGAUAUGGAAGGAGCUCGUCGGGGAUUCCGAUAUGUGUUAAAGAGCUUUGAGCAUUUUGGGAGGACCUUCUUGUGAUGUGAUAAUGGUCUUUUAGCGAGUUCAUAGGUUGUGACAAUUUGCCCAGAAUCCUCAGAUGAAAAUGUAAAUCAUCUACAGUGCCCUUCGCCCACCUUUUCCGUUCAGGGAACUUGGAUCUGAAUCUUUUGUUUGAGUGUGUUUUGAAGUGCUCCUUAUGGUAGUGCUUUUCGCAUUUUGGACUGGGAGCUAUUUAGAAAGCCUGUGAAUAUUCGGCGGCUGCUGUUUUAAUUGAAGUGCUUUUUCAGGCAGCUGUUUAUCCUUCUUUUGUAGAAAUUGGUUGAAAUCUUCUCGAAUCACUAGGUUGGUAGAAGUAACAGAGCUGAGCAAUUGAAAGCAAAUGGUUGGACUCCUGAAAAACAUAUCUUUCGGGCCUCAUCAGUCUGGCAGUUUCUGGUGUUCAUGGGCUGAAAUUCUGCACGGUCUGUUGUUUGAACUUCUGACUAUGAUUGAUGGGUUGAAGAUUUACAACAAGAGGAUCAGUUGUCACUAUGCUGAACAAGUUGUCCUUCUAGUCAUGUAUAAUCAUGUUAUGUCUUUUGCUAAGUGGCUGUAGCCAAAUGAGCUUGCUGGCUGGGAAAAUUUUCUGCAUUGCACAUCGAUCUGUUUUUGGCAGGAACACGCACAAUGUGUAUUCCACAAGUAUAUUAAAUUAAUAAUCUGCUGAAAGUUUCCUUUUUUUGUUUAGAAA